CAUCUAGAGCCUUAACAAAAGGUCCGUCCUCUCUCUUGUACCCUUUUGCUGUUUUCUCGUUAAUCUUAGUCCACUCAGCAUCCUAAUCCAUAAUUAUGUACAUAACUCAUCGUCUUAGUUUAAUAAUAAUUAUCACUCACAAGCUUCUUCGCGUGCGAAGCUUUCUCCUCAAAUUCUGAGCGGAGUGCUGUGAGUCGAGGAUCGUCUUCCUCCUCACCUUCACCAAACACACAGAGCAAGGCCACCAGGUCAUUGAGUUGAGCCACUUCUUCGUUUACCCUAUACAUUUAUUUUAUUGCUUUAUGUGUUCCAUGUAAAUUUAAUCACCUGUCUUGAGGGCUCUCUCUCUCACAGAGUCACUCAUGAAGUUUGAGUAUGAAGGGCCACCCCUCUCGCGACUAUCUUCAAACCAUGAGACUGCAUUGUCAAGCACAUGACAUUCAUCCUCCAUCAAUUGGAAGAGCCGGUAAAAAAUCCCUAAACUUAUGUGCAGUCCUGGAGGGCAAACCUGCAUUUCCAUUUUGGAAUAAGGAUCCCUCCGGCUGCAAUGAAGCUGUGGUGUCAACACAUUCUUAAUUCCAAUGAUGACGAUGAGAGAAGAGUGCACCGGCUUACUUGGCAUGAAGGGAAGAUACCUGCUGACGAGAUCUGGGUCAAGUUGGGUGGAGAUAAGGGAGGAGGGAGUUUGUUUUAAGAUGGUAUUUCAGAUAUGUAAUGUAGAGCAUCCUAAUUCCCCUGUUAAUACCUGUGCUUUUUGUGUUUUUGAGGCUCCCGAGGCUCCCGACAACGUUACCAACUUGAAGAUCGCACUACAGAGGUUCGAAGAUGAGGUGGACAGCCUACAGAGCAAGACAUGGAGGAGCAAUAUCCAGCUUACUCGAAUAUCCGGUUUCAUAGAGAAGAUUCCCAAAACAAAAUUUCAGUAAUGGCUGACCGUGGGUUUACCAUAAAAGACCAACUUGAACUUGAGCCGUUGGGUGUUGCUCUGAAUAUCCCCUCAUUCUUGGAUGGAAGGAAGCAACUAGAUGCAGCCGAAGUUCAAACUCAUGUAGAGCGAUGUAUUGGCCGAAUCAAUGUAUUGGCCGAAUCAACCGAAUCAAGAACUUUGCCAUAUUAAGAUCUACUCUGCCAUUAAGCAUGGCACGUAUAGCCAACCAAGUUGUGAGCGUGUGUGCCUGGCUGACAUCAUUGCAUUGGUGGCACUCGGUGAAGAUCUGAGCAGGAGGGAGGAGGCAGUGACACUGUAUAUGAUUCUGACUACGAUGCUGAUAUUGAACAUGAUUGUAUUUCUGAUUGAUAAUUACGAUGCUCAAUAUUAUUUAUAUAAUAGCACUGAAUACAGAAAUUACGUCAAAUUAAGAUUUCGCACUUGAA